rnacentral:lncRNA from 1 species
AAAGGGAGGUCGGAUACCGGCCAAAAUAAGGUGGAGUAUGUGUUUGGCUUUUUAGGGUUAGGGUUGGAGAGUCGCCGGAGAAGAGGGCGGCGCCGCCGCGGUUGGCCGGCCGCCACUGUCUUCUCCGGUCAAUUUGGCCGUGAGAGGGAUGACGGAGGAGAAGAGGAAGUUGUAGAGCAACUUCAUUCUCAGAAUGAAGAGAGAGAACGAGAGGAGCAA